GGGUGACGAGCGGCGGACGGGUGAGUAAUGUCUGGGAACUGCCUGAUGGAGGGGGAUAACUACUGGAAACGGUAGCUAAUACCGCAUAACGUCGCAAGACCAAAGUGGGGGACCUUCGGGCCUCAUGCCAUCAGAUGUGCCCAGAUGGGAUUAGCUAGUAGGUGGGGUAAUGGCUCACCUAGGCGACGAUCCCUAGCUGGUCUGAGAGGAUGACCAGCCACACUGGAACUGAGACACGGUCCAGACUCCUACGGGAGGCAGCAGUGGGGAAUAUUGCACAAUGGGCGCAAGCCUGAUGCAGCCAUGCCGCGUGUAUGAAGAAGGCCUUCGGGUUGUAAAGUACUUUCAGCGAGGAGGAAGGCAUUAAGGUUAAUAACCUUAGUGAUUGACGUUACUCGCAGAAGAAGCACCGGCUAACUCCGUGCCAGCAGCCGCGGUAAUACGGAGGGUGCAAGCGUUAAUCGGAAUUACUGGGCGUAAAGCGCACGCAGGCGGUUUGUUAAGUCAGAUGUGAAAUCCCCGGGCUCAACCUGGGAACUGCAUUUGAAACUGGCAAGCUUGAGUCUUGUAGAGGGGGGUAGAAUUCCAGGUGUAGCGGUGAAAUGCGUAGAGAUCUGGAGGAAUACCGGUGGCGAAGGCGGCCCCCUGACAAAGA
rnacentral:rRNA from 1 species